UGGCGAACGGGUGAGUAAUAUAUCGGAACGUGCCCAGUCGUGGGGGAUAACGUAGAGAAAUUUACGCUAAUACCGCAUACGAUCUAAGGAUGAAAGCGGGGGAUUCGCAAGAACCUCGCGCGAUUGGAGCGGCUGAUAUCAGAUUAGGUUGUUGGUGAGGUAAAAGCUCACCAAGCCGACGAUCUGUAGCUGGUUUGAGAGAACGACCAGCCACACUGGGACUGAGACACGGCCCAGACUCCUACGGGAGGCAGCAGUGGGGAAUCUUCCACAAUGGACGAAAGUCUGAUGGAGCAACGCCGCGUGCAGGAUGAAGGCCCUCGGGUCGUAAACUGCUUUUAUAAGUGAAGAAUAUGACGGUAACUUAUGAAUAAGCACCGGCUAACUACGUGCCAGCAGCCGCGGUCAUACGUAGGGUGCAAGCAUUAUCCGGAGUGACUGGGCGUAAAGAGUUGCGUAGGUGGACAAGUAAGCGAAUAGUGAAAUCCAACGGCUCAACCGUAUGGACUAUUACUCGAAC
rnacentral:rRNA from 1 species